UAGGGAAUAUUGCAUAAUGGGCGAAAGCCUGAUGCAGCAACGCCGCGUGUGCGAUGAAGGCCUUCGGGUCGUAAAGCACUUUUAGAGAGGAUGAGGAAGGACAGUACUCUCUGAAUAAGCCUCGGCUAACUACGUGCCAGCAGCCGCGGUAAAACGUAGGAGGCGAGCGUUAUCCGGAUUUACUGGGCGUAAAGCGCGUGCAGGCGGUAAGGAAAGUUGGAUGUGAAAGCUCCCGGCUUAACUGGGAGAGGUCGUUCAAAACUACCUAACUAGAGUAUGGGAGAGGGAAGGGGAAUUCCGGGUGUAGUGGUGAAAUGCGUAGAUAUCCGGAGGAACACCAGUGGCGAAAGCGGCUUCCUGGCCCAUUUUUGACGCUCAGACGCGAAAGCUAGGGUAGCAAACGG
rnacentral:rRNA from 1 species